CCGGAAGUGAGUCAACCAGUUUGACGUUACACAAGUUCCUUGAUAAGCAUAGCUUAUUGUUUUGCUGAAGUCUUUUCAAAGCUUUAUAAAUUUAAAUCAUGAAAGAUAAGGUAAUAACUAUGACUUACAAUUAAUUUCGAAUGUCAUCAAUCUAAACUUGUUGGGAGCAUAGGCUCUAGAAAUUGGUAUUCUGAUUCAUACCACAAUCAUAGUUCAAUACUAAGUGGAUAAUCUUUCAUUUUCACUUGUUUAUAGUAACAGAGUGUGGUUGCUUGAUUUGGUAAGAAAACAAAUUGAAUUCUGUAAUUCAUUUAAAUCUAUAAAAAUUUCAUUUGAAAAAGAAAAAAAAAAUUGAAUCUUGCUAUUGUUGUAUUUUCCUUCCAUCAAUAAAUAGAGGUAGAGAGAAAUGUCAAUACAUUCUUAGACUUUCUGUUCUUAACACUGUUAUUUGGUCAAAUCCCACAUAGUAGAGUAUUGAAAAGAGAAUGUCAGAUUGUACAUAUUUCUGGUAUUUCUCCAUAGAAAUAUUGUUUGUAAGCCUUAAGCCAUUUUCAACUGAACAGCAUAACAAGGAUAAUGUAAGGACUAAUCAGCUUAUGUGAGGUUUCUUAGAAAUCUAUCUGAUGAUCACUUUUAGCCUAAAUUUGCCUUACAAUUUAUACAAUUAAUUUAACAUGGUUUCUAUUUUUUCCUUCAAAUAUUACAACAUACCACUAAAUCUGAUAGGAGCAAAGUUUUAAGCUAGAGGAAAACUAUAUCUCAGUUCCAGCUCUUCUAUUUAUACCAAAUUAUAUCUUAUGUAUGAACAACAUAUAAACCAUGAACUACAUUACUUCUGUUAGAAAUAGCUGUACUGAUGCUGUAUUACACUUGACUUUUCAUUUUCCUCUCUCUGCAUUUAAAUGUUGGUUUUAAAGUAUAUUGUUUAUGUGAAAUUUUUACAAAGUUUGUGCAAUGUCUAUGGUGAAACAUGUAAAAUAUUUAUUCUAAUAAUUCACUUUUUUGUUACCUAACAAAUUGUUAUUGCUGAUUGGGUUUCCAGAAAAUAAAUAAACUGUAUGAAUGUGUUUGAAAGUAUUUCAACUGAAUAAGUGAAUGUGAAUAUGUAACAGUAACUGGUGAUUAAUUUUACUCAAUUGUGUAAAAAAGGCGAUGUCAACUGAUAUUGUUUAUUCUUCAACUUCGCGUUUUAAAUUGUGAAAAACUAUGAUUGAAUGACUAUACAAAAUUGUUUUUAUUUUCUUUUAAAUUUUGUGUGCUGCAAUGAUAAUGGUUUGAAGUAAUUGACAUGAUAUAUAAUUGUUAUUUUCUUGGAUUGUGAGGAUCUGUUGUGGAGUUGAAGUUGGUCUGAUUCAUACCACAAUCAUAGUUCAGUACUAAGUGGAUUUUUUUUAUUCUUCCCAUCUUGUAUGUGGACUAUAUUUGUGAGGGUUGGGUGUGGAGUAUAUAUUGGUGAUGAUAUAUAAUUGCUAUUUUUUUUUUAUCCUCAAAAUUUUGUGUGUGAUGGUCUAAUAUCAUUUGUUUUAAUGUCUGGAGUCUCAACUUGUGCGUAUUUAAAUUUGCAGCAUAAGCUGACAGGCGGCUAAGCUUGCACAUGCAUCAGAUGUGCAGUCACCACUAGAUGACGAUGCUUGAACACAAUGAUAGCGGGAUGAGGAUGUUGGCUU
rnacentral:lncRNA from 1 species